AAAAGAUAUUAUAUUGGCCCUAAAUCCAAGCCCAAUAUUGGAGAAAUUACGGAGGAUGUGUCGGAGAUGCUUUCGCCUCCUACCUCACUGCCAGCGGUUAACCGUGGAAUUUGAUCGAGUUUUUUUCUUUCUCUGAGGAGCUUCCGAUGAACAACUCGAUUGCAUAAUCCUCCUCUAAGGGGUAUUUCUAGACAAGUGAAAGCCUGUAUGAUCGGAAGCUUGAAGAACCAGAUGGACAUGUGUCCACCUCUGCAAGUAGCAGAGUCAUCAGCUACAACACUUUGUUACUCUUUUUUUAGUAUGUAGAUUAUUUUUAAAAUGUGGAGACAGGUUCCAGAGUCAGCUGCACAUGUUUUCACCGUGGCAAGUAAUACACAGUCAUCGGUUACAACACCUUAUGCCUCUUGUUUCCAGCAUGUAGAGUAUUUUCAAAAUGCCAAGACAGGUUCCGGAGGCGUGAAUAUCACCCCUAAGUCAUCCGCCUUCUUUGCUGGAUAUGCAAUGGACAGCGGUUCCUUAAAAGAAGUAGCUUGGCAGGAGAUUGGUAACUGGGUUCUGAUUUAUGUGUUGCUGGCGAAGGGAACCAUCUAUAUCCAUAUCAUUCUUGUUGGUAAUGGUAAGAGUUCAUUUUAUCAGUUUGCUUUUGGUAGAAACUAUUCAACCCGGGGUGAUCCUAGAUCAUCCUUGAUGACACCAAGCUGAGGAGGCUGAACCAAGCUGCAAGGCCACUCGGCCUCAAAUAGGAGGGGUGCCAUCCGAGAGUCUUUUUAGUCUUGGUGGUUGCGGGCCUUGGUGAACCGUAAUUCGUUUCAUGGGUGUUAAGUUAUGUAUUACUUCAAAGCACACAAUAAAAAAAGCUGAUGUUGGCGUAUAAGUAUCAGCUAACAAGAGACAGAGAGCAGCAGGCCCCGUCAAUCAUAAAGGGAGAUAACGAUGUGCUGAUGCAUAUGCAAACAUAAUAUCUGCUUUAGGGACCAUGAUCGGUGUAAUUGGAAUUAGAACAGAGUUGACGAUGAUGAUCCAGUCGUGUUGCAAAUGUUGUUGGUAUGUAUUUUGGUUUGAUCAAAAGUCCGGCUACAUUUAUACCAUUGGGAGACAUUGGAUAAAUAUGAGUAGAGAUAUCUUUAACCAAACUUUAUGGUUUGAGUGGGAUCUUACAACCCAGAUCUUCUUCCAUCAUCUCAUGCUUAUUUGACACCUUUUAUCUUGUACACAUAAGAGGAGACAUUCACAUCAACUAAUUUGUAUGUUAUAUUAUCCUGCCUUUCUUUAAC